UACACUCUAAAAAUGGCUGGGUUAUUUUUUAACCCAAAAUGCUGGGUUGAGUCUGUUGGGUUGUUUUGCUGGGUUAAUUUUUAACAUUUUAAACACUUUUUGGGUAGUUUCAGUUUUCUGGUUGUUGGGUUAAAACUGCUGGGUUAUUAUGUUGGGUUGUUUGAAGAGGCUCACGUGCUUCGCGCCUUUGAUGUUUGAAUGUGCUCAGCAACGGUCGUCGUGAAAGGAAAGAGUCACUGGAAGCAGUUGUUUCAAGAGUGUGCAGAGUUUUUAUGUCCAUCCAUUAAUGAGGCUAGCAAGGCCUUCAUACAACUUCAGCCAAUUGCAACAAAUGUGGUGGAAGUUCUUCUCUGGACAGAAUCCUCGAAAUCCUUUCCUUUAUUUCCUGGCCAUGGGAAACAUGCAGCAGAUCUCUCAAUCUUUUUUCUCUAUCAGUCUCUCUGAUGGAACCAAUACGGAAGUGACUUAAACUGCA